UGGGGAAUAUUGCACAAUGGGGGAAACCCUGAUGCAGCGACGCCGCGUGAGUGAAGAAGUAUUUCGGUAUGUAAAGCUCUAUCAGCAGGGAAGAAAAUGACGGUACCUGAGUAAGAAGCCCCGGCUAACUACGUGCCAGCAGCCGCGGUAAUACGGAGGAUGCGAGCGUUAUCCGGAUUUAUUGGGUUUAAAGGGUGCGUAGGCGGCGCGUCAAGCCGGUGGUAAAAUUGCGGGGCUCAACCCCGUAGAGCCAUCGGAACUGGCGUGCUUGAGUGGAAAAGAAGUAUGCGGAAUGCGAGGUGUAGCGGUGAAAUGCAUAGAUAUCGCGCAGAACUCCGAUUGCGAAGGCAGCGUACUAUUCUCCAACUGACGCUGAGGCACGAAAGCGUGGGGAUCGAACAGGAUUAGAUACCCUGGUAGU
rnacentral:rRNA from 1 species